UAAUACUUUUUUUGUAGCGGAAUAUUCGUUACCUUUAGAUUUAUUGACUAAAUCAAAAGUAAACAUACAAUUGGAGUCACCACCGCACUUUUAUUUGUCCAAAGGAAAGACUAAAAAGGGAACAAAAGUCAAGUAAGAAGUUUUAUCAAAUCAAAAACUAAUAAAACUGUCAGAGAUCUGGGUAAGGGGGUUGGUUAUGAGAUGGGAAGGUUUUAAGCACCCAAAACAUCCUUAGUACUCAAGGGAGCCUUUUUGCAAAUGUGUAUUGUAGAUUGGUAUUUGUGAAAAGAUUUGUGCAAAUAUGAUUGGGGAGAUGAGAAAAGAAUAUACAUUAUAUUUACAAUUUUGUUGUUUGAAUGGAUGAACUCAUUGCCUACGUACCGUCACAAAGGUAGAAUCAAAACCUCGUAGUUCGGGG
rnacentral:lncRNA from 1 species